rnacentral:lncRNA from 1 species
GACUUGACAUUAUUCCUUCGAGACUGAGAGUCCCAGACAGGAAUCCCUGAUUGUCUGAACCAAGUGCUCAUCAUCACUGUAGGGGACCUUUGAAAGAGCUGCCGGAGAAGGUGAGGAAGAAAGCCCUGCCUGGAAAGCAACAGUGAACCACCAGUGUCAGCAACGUGAAGCUUGCUGCAAGGCCUGCAGUCAUGAUGAACCCAGCAGCUUCUAGUUCAUCCCAGUGGCCCUGAGACUAUUUAUCCUGUGACUUCACACGCGCUUGGAAGUUUUGUUGUGAUCUUCGCUGAGUCUGUGCGGAAAUCACAGGCUAGAUUUUAGAUUUUUUACUUUUCAGCAUGUGACUUAAAGUUCUGUUGACUUGGGGAAAGGGCUGAUAAUCUUGUGCUAAAUCACUGAUGGAAUAUAAAUUAAAAUCUCCAUCUCUCAGUCAA